UUUGUGCCUUGUUGUGUGUGUUACGUCACGCUUUCUCCCACUCAGAGCGUCGGCUCUCUUCCGUGUCUUCUGCCUCCAGCCCCCGCUCUCUGUAGUUACUUUGUAUUUUCGUAGAUCAAGACUUUUACUUUUCAAUGUCGGUGCCAGCACUGCUUCUAGGUCCUAAUUUCGAUCCUCACGUGACAGUGCCUUCCCCUUUCUCAUUAAUUUCCGAAGGCAGCCUACGGUCUCAACCAAUUCGCAGCUCGUGUUUGAACUGUUUCCAUCUGGACUGUCUGGCGCACUGGCGCAUCGUAUCCCCCAUUUGGCACGUACUGGCACUCAGUUUUUGGUGCGCUCGGAAUAAUCGAAUGGCACAUUUCAACAACGCUCUUGAGUUUC